AACUGUAGGGCCUGAUCCAAAGCCCAUUGGUCAAUGGGAGUCUCUCCACUGACUUCAGGGGGCUUUAGAUCAGGCCCUAAAUUU
rnacentral:pre_miRNA from 1 species